rnacentral:rRNA from 1 species
UACGGAGGGUGCAAGCGUUAAUCGGAAUUACUGGGCGUAAAGCGCACGCAGGCGGUUUGUUAAGUCAGAUGUGAAAUCCCCGGGCUCAACCUGGGAACUGCAUUUGAAACUGGCAGACUUGAGUCUCGUAGAGGGGGGUAGAAUUCCAGGUGUAGCGGUGAAAUGCGUAGAUAUCUGGAGGAAUAUCAGUGGCGAAGGCGGCCCCCUGGACAAAGACUGACGCUCAGGUGCGAAAGCGUGGGGAGCAAACAGG